ensembl:lncRNA
UGACGCCCUUGCCCAUGACAAUGCUUUUCAAUCAUGGAUACUUCUCAGAAUCAUCCCCCUGCUUAAAACAUUUUAGUGGCAUCAGUUGUUCUUGGCAGAAAGACAAUGAGCUUAGCAGAAGUCCAUGUCAUUGCAAACCAGACCCCGCGUGAUCUAGCUCCCACCUACCUCCCCAAACUGUCUGCACCAUUUGCUCCCUCACUCUCUGCCUGCUGCCAUGCUGGCCUUCUUAGAGUUUCUGGAACGCAUGUGCUGGCUCUUGCUUGUGUGAGCUCCCUCUGCCUGGAAGCUUUCACCCUGCCUCUCUCCCUGGAGAACUCUCCCUUCCGCUCGGGCUGCUCUGUCCGGGUCAGUUCUUGUAAUCACCUCCGUUCCUCUCAUCACAGCUGUAACGCUACAUUUCUUUCUGUCAUUAGUUGAUUAGCACUUAUCUCCUUAAUAAUAUCUAAGGUCCAUAAGGACAGUCUGUGUGGGUUUUACCCAUCAUUUUAUCCCCAGCACCUAGCAUAAGUCUGGCCUAGAGUCAGUCCUUUAUGAUUAUUUGCUGAAUAAAUGGACCUCUGACCAAGUUUUGAGAUCUGAUUCCAUUAUUCACUACCUGUGAUACCUUGAGGUCCUCACUUUGCCUCCAUGAAACUGGUUUUCUUUACCAGUCAAGUGGGAACUGUGUCUACUUGACAGCAUCGUUCUGGGAAAUGAACUAGGCAAUGGAGGUGAAGUUAUUUUGUAGACUACAACCCAAUCUACAAGUGUAAAUUGCUUUUUUGAUUCUGUUGAUUUAUUAUUAUUCUGAAACAGAAGUAAUCAAGGCUUAUAAAGGGAAAAAAUCCAUUGUUGGCCUAAAAGGGAGACUUCUUUUCUGUUCUCUUCCUGCAUUCAGUGUUUCCGCUCAUUGUUCUAUCAAAGCCUGCAUUAAGUAAAGGACUUGACGCAAAGCAUUUGCAUCAUAAUGUUAAUUUAAACACUGGGGAUAUUUGCAUUUUAAAUUUGAUCUCUGAUUGAAGAACAGAAGGCUUUGUCUAUUUUUAAAUAAAUGUCAAACAUCAGUGAGGAGACAGAGACUGAGCCCCUGGGAGUGGGCAGUCAAGCCCACUCCAUCCAGACCUGCCUCGCCAUCUCCUGCCUGCCGCUGAGCCCGGGUGCCGUUUCCAUCAGUGUCCUCUCCAUCGCUGAAGUGAGUUCCUCCUGGCCAGUGAUUCCGCUGUCUUCAAGAACUCCACCAUCUUUACUUACUUCAGUUCCGAAUUCUCCCUAGAACGCAGUGUUUUGUUGAUUUGAGAAUUUUGGGGAAUGUUGUGAUUGUUUCUGGGGAAAUUGGGGGCAGUUUGGAAUUUUGACAAACAAGUACUACCCAGGGGGUGUUUCAGCAGCGGCCCUGCCUCGCCCUCGCUCAGUCCAGCAGCCUCCAAAGUUUCUGGAGGACUAGAGAAGAGAACAGCCUUUUUCGGGGCAUUGGGUCCCGGGAUGCAAAGAAUUAGGAAACAGGUGACAGUGAUAAGUGAGGGAAGGACAGACUGUCACUGCUCUUUCAGGCUCUGCUGGGAGAAAAUGAACUUUUGGAGUGGUUAUUGUUGACAUAUUGGUUGCCAGUAAUCAAUCAUAAGUGCCUGUGAUAAUUUUCUUGGAAUAAAGUCUAUGAUGGGAGGCAUUGUAGGGCAUGCACAGGAAUAUACUUCAUAAUCUCUGACUUCAAGGACUUUACAACUUAGUGGUAGCGAUGAGACAUACACACAAGAAAUUAAAUGAUAACACAAACAAGUAUAAGCCCCCAAAGAGUUGGAAGGACAGCAAGUGCUAUGGGAGCCUAGGGGAGGAAGACCCUACUGUGGGCGGGGUGGUCAGAAGCAUAUGGUUAAAGUCCAGCUACUUUCCACUGUCUGGAAUCCUUCAGUGGUCCAUCAACCCCCUGUGGACUGGGUGGUCAGAACUUGAUCAUGGGAGUGAAGGGGGCUUAGUACAACUUGGAAGCAUGACUAAGGGUAAAUAGCAUUCAAAUAGAUGGUGAAGGAGCAGGUGGUGGGAAGAGACCAUUUCAAGUGGGCAAAACAAGGCCCACCUAGGUUUCUAAAUUCUGAUAUAAUUAACUCCCCGUUACCUCAGGGCUUGCCCCUAACGGUGGUAAUGGAGCACAGGGGAAGUUCUUAAAUGAUGGCAACUGCUGGCCCAGCCUAAUAGCCUACACAUGAGAGAGAUUACAACUGCCAGUCUCACCAGUUCACAGGUGAGGACAUGGAAGAAUGAGUGGGAAGGAGGAGUCAAGGCCUUGGUGAUUUCCACCUCCACGUGGUCUGGACCACAUUCUUCCCUAGAAGUGUUGCUUCCCUCUGCAUAUCACAGUCUGCCGUAACUGGAGAAAAGGAGAACACAGCAGAUCAGGUUAAUCACCUGGAAGACUGGGAAAUCCAAAUUCACUCCAGCCCACGCAAGCUAGGUAACUGCACCAGUCAGACCUGUUGGGGAUCCAGGGACCAGCCUGCACAUCGAUGUGUGGCAACCAGAGAGGAACUUUGCUGCUUGGGGAUCUGACCACAGCACUUUUCACCACUGAUUUUACCUGAAGUCCAGACUUUCGCCAAGCCUCCUGUGACUGUGGGAAAAGGGGCACAACACUCAGGAAGUGAUGGGAGCACAUGUUUUCCUGACCUUGACAGUGUGAAUGCGUCUGAUUUCUUUUGACUAGGAAAAAAGUAUCCGGUAUCUACUGGACUUCUGGCUAGUUGAAGAACUCAUGGGUAGCAUGUAUCAUAUCAGAGAGGCUUCUAGUUAUUUCCAAAGAAGUAGAAAUGGAGUUUUGUUUCUCUUUAGUGAUUAUCUAUGUGACCAUCAAGUGGAGAAAGAUAUCACUGGUGUCAGCUAAGAAGUGGAGAGCUAAUGCAUUAAGCUUCAUUCUGCAGCCAGUUGAGGGGGACGGCAAGCCCAAGGAAUAAAGAAUGCAGUGGGGGCGCUAAAGAAGAAGCGGAAGUCUGCUAAGUCAUUGGCACUUGCUUCAGAGAAAGAGAGCUCGAGAUGCCAGACUGGGCCCUAGAGGGAGAAGGGCCUGUGUUUGAUUUUUGGAUGACAAGUGUGACCAAGACUAGCUGUAUAACUUCCAGGACCCAGAGCAAUAUCAAUGCAGGGCCCCCUUUUUAAAAAUUAAGCAUUUCAAGACAGCAACAACAAAGCAUGAAACCAAGCAUGGGACCCUGCAGGGUGUGGGGCCCUGUGUGACUCAGCAAGUCGCACACCCACAAAGACUGUCCUGAGGGUGGCUAAGGUGACCCUCACAUGUGCUCUCACUGUGGCACGUCCCCUGCUGUGCCACGGCAUGCACUGUGGCACUUCACGUACUGUGUUUUGAUAGCAGCAGUUCUCGUCUGUAAGCUUGAUGAGGAGGAACCAGCAAGGAUGUGCCAGUAAGGAAGCUAGCACUAGAGUGUAGAGAGGGAGGGAGUCUGACGGAGGUCGCUCGGCCUCACCACCACGCGCUCUCCUCUCCUGCAGCUCCAGCCGUGAGUUGGGACAAGCGACGGAGGUUCUCCUAUGUACAGGAAGUCUUGUUUAAACUCCCAGGACUUUAGUUUCCUUCAGAUUCCAGCAAAUAUUUUAAUCAUAAGUUCUAAUAAAAGGAUACUGACUCUAAGGCUGGGGGGAAGAUGAAAUGAAAUCACAAGAAAUCAAAAAUGUAUCUUUGUCUUUUGAAAGCAGAAAGGUAAAAUUGGAGUGGGAGAAAUAAAUAAAAACAGGGUUCACAAAUAGGAUUUGAUUUUUAAACAGAACGUUUCUUAAUAUCUUCCAAGCAGAUGUCUUCCAGGGAAACAAGCUGUUGUUGAAGGAUGGGGUGUUAGUAUUGUCAGAUCGAUUGCUUAGCAAGACUUAACCUGAGAAAUUUCAUUUUCAUGAUGAUUAGUGAACAACAUGCUCUGUUCUUCUGGCUUCAUUAAUCCAGUAGAGUGUAGUCUGAAGAGAAGUUUUCUUCUAGAAAUUUUGUUUUAUCUACAUUAAAGAGAAGAGAAUAUUAAAGAUCUGUAUUUUUACAAUUUUUACACAGAUUGGUUUAACAAAGAGAAUAUCACAUGCAAGGAUUCUUUAGUUUAUGAGAAAAGAAUAACAUGUACCAGGGUUAACGGCCUCAGGACACCAUGUGACGAACUUCCAUUAGAGUCUGACUUUUUGUUUGUUUUUGUGCUUUUGUUUUGAACUUUCACCUGUGGGGCCCUUAUACCUGCUGAGCACAAUGAUGAAGAAAAAGUGUCUGGAAUGCUGUCAAGGAAUCAUACAAUUUCAAGUUUUCUUCUGAGUCCGUGUACUAUGGAAUACACAAUCCACUUUGCCCUCUAACCUUUCCUAAAGCAAAUCUAAAAGAGGAUGUAAUUAAUGUUAUUUGAGUGGUCUCCUGGUGAGCGGUCUACCUACUUGUAGAAGAUGUUAGUGUUAGUGCCUACCUGCCACACGAGAGGGGCCAAAUAAAAACUGGAAUGCCAGGCUUAUGGCAAGGAAAGGGUUUUUAUUUCAGAUAAUAUCAGCCAGGAGAUGGAAGUGAACCCUCAAAUUCGUCUCCUCUCUUAUCUCCCCAAAAGAUGGGAGGCCAGAGGUUUUAAAGGUUUGUGAGGAAUAUGACUGCUUGUAGAGAGGGAGGAAGUCAGUGGCCAGGCUGGAAGCUUUCCCACCAGCCUGCGUUCAGCCUCGGGAUGCUGCUUAGGGGAAGGAGGAGGAGAUGUUAAGGAAUCCAGGUGGCUGUCCUUGGCUGAUCUGUCUCCAUAGAAUAGUAGAUUCUGGAGCCAGGGAGCCAGGCAGUAAGCAAGGAAAGAGUGCUUUGGUUUUAACCUCAUAUAUGCUGGGUUUGAUGUAGGGGAAAUGAUAUCAGGGCUGGCAUCAUAAGGAAACUAGACCUUAAAAAAUGUCCUAUGGAAUCAAGGUGCUGUUUGUUUUUAAAUUCUUCUAUGACAUUAUUAAUACUAAAAAUAUGUACUACGAAUAUUUCAGAUUAUGACCCAAAUGAUAAAACUUUGAGUUUCUCCUCUGAUGUAAAGUAUGCUCGAACAAGAAUGACCAUAAUCAGCUAUUACUUAUUCUCUAAGGUAGAAUAAAAUUGGAUGAGGACAAGCUGAAUUACAGACAGUGCCAAGAGGCCUUCUGAGGAUUUGCUAGGAAUAGUGAAAGGCAAAGAAAGGACAUAGAGAAAGCAUUAGAAAUGCAGAUCUAUUAAAAUGUACAGAGAAAUAUUGCCCUCCAUCUAAUGGUCUGAGCAAGUCCUUCCCAGUGUCAUUCAGAACCUGAGGUUCAGGCCGCACGUUCUAAGGGAGAACAGAAAUGAGAGCUUUGUAUAUUGAAGGUGGAUGCUUCAUUUUCCUAUACCCUGGAAGGUCCUGGGAGGCAUUGAGAGGAUUUGCCCAUUUCUAUUGAUAAACCAGCUUCAUUAGGCCCCACCAACAGGAGGUGAUAAACUGUGAAUGUUUCUGUUUCCAAGAAAAGAGAUUUUUGUAGAGAACGCCAAAAUUGUAAAUUCAGAGUAUGACCCAGGGGCAAAACGUGUUUGUUUUAAAUAAACAGGCCUUUUCAGAGUUUGGCCAGCUUCCCAAAGGGAUUUGGCAUUUGUUUUCUUUUUACAGUCAUCAAGUUAUG